rnacentral:tRNA from 1 species
AUAUUUAAGUGUAAAGCAUUUAAAUUUUUGAAAUUUAAGGAUCAGACAGGUGUUUGGAGGUAUAAA